UCGUAAUAAAUUUAAAUUAUUCUACAAUGUUUUUCAAGUACGAUAAAUGUUAUUUUAUGCAUGUUCACGAAGCAGAACACAUAUAUGUGUAUAUCAAACGUUGUCCCGCAAACAUUAGUACAUGUACCUAUCAUCAAACGAUAGUAAACCUUUCUAGUUUUUGCGAAACUAACUAGCUUUUAGUGUUUGUUUCUUUUUGCGAUAACGUUCAUUUAUUAACGGAGCUCCACUUAUUUCUUUCUGUAUUUUUUAUUUGAUUUCGACGAAUCACCACGUAAAGAACAUUGUGUCGGCUGGGAAUUCACUCAAAGGAAAUUUUUUUACCAGAUAUUCCUGAUGACGAGUACUAAAACUUCAACUAUUUUACUGAUCACCCUCAUAAUGAUGUACCUGGUAUCAGAAAUCGACGGACGGUCAAGAAUGAAUUGUUGUCGGUCAAGAUUAUGUCCAAAAGGGAAACAGUGCACCAGAAUUGGCUCCAGGUGCCGUUGCAAGAGUAACAGAGUUAUCUCGGGGGUUUUAGAUAUUCGGAAGGAAUCAGCUAAAAUAUAUAGAUACCAUCGCCAUAAAGAAUGAAAGUGAGACGACAUGUAGAUCUCCUCCAUUUCAUAAUUAUGAUACUAGUUUUGUUACUUGGAUAAAUAUGAUAAAUACGAUAAAAAAAACACAUGUAAUACUAGCAAUUGAUCUUCAUAAGAAGGUAUAAGACUUAUUCUAAUUUGUGUACAAUAAUGUGCUAAAUUACUUAUUUUUACAUGCUGCUUAAUAUGGACAUAUAUUUUUGAUACUUAGUUUUGCUUUGUGAUGUGAUGUUGUAAUGUAGCAUUAAAUAUUUGUAUGACUCUUU